rnacentral:sRNA from 1 species
CGCAGACGGAACAAGAUGACUCAGUACAUCACGGAGCUCUCCGACAUGGUCCCCACAUGCAGCGCACUGGCUCGGAAGCCAGACAAGCUCACCAUCCUCCGCAUGGCCGUCUCGCACAUGAAGUCCAUGAGGGGUACAGGGAACAAGUCCACCGAUGGCGCGUACAAGCCUUCCUUCCUCACAGAGCAGGAACUGAAGCAUCUCAUCCUUGAAGCAGCUGAUGGAUUUCUGUUUGUGGUGGCUGCUGAGACAGGGCGAGUGAUUUAUGUGUCUGACUCCGUCACCCCUGUUCUGAACCAGCCCCAGUCAGAGUGGUUUGGGAGCACACUGUAUGAACAGGUGCAUCCUGAUGACGUGGAGAAGCUGAGAGAGCAACUGUGCACCUCAGAAAACUCAAUGACAGGUAUGCAGACCUCUCAUGCUUUGUUCAUGGCAACAACUUCUUAGGGAAGGGAUCUAAAACAGAAGCCUACCUGGGCAUUGCAAGACUGGAAGAGGAGACUUGCCCAGUAAUGUCACUGAAUGACUGGAUUUUCCAUGCAUGAUGCCAGGACUCCACUCCAUUUCUGUGAACUCGACUGUACCAUAGUGAAGUUCAGACAUCUGUCUUUCAAAAGCUACCCUGAUGAUUCCAGUGUGGACCAACUACUGCUCCCCAAUGCGACCCCUGCCAACAAACCCCAUGCAUAAAUAAAAUAAAAUAAUACAA